rnacentral:lncRNA from 1 species
UUAGGGUUUAUAGAUAUCGGGUUAGGGUUUAUCGGAUUUUAAAUUGUAAAAACCGAUUUGGGGUUUUAAUCAUGUAGGAACAUGAUUUAGGGUUUAGGGUAUCGAACUUUUAGAGCUUCGAUUUACUCAAUUAGGAUUUUUGAUCUAUUACCCUAUGGUUUUGAUUCAUAAAAACUAGGGUCUUAGGGUUUCAUUCUUUAUCA